GCUUGGUGGUAGAAUGCUUGCCUAGCAUGUGCCAGGCCCGGAGGUCAAUCCCCGGCACCACACACACACACACCUGAAAAAAAGUUCAGAGUGUAUUAAUUUUUGCUAAAUCAUGCAGCUGCUUUGGCUGUAAGGAUGUGGAUAAGGAAUGGAAACUUGACCUAGGAAAUGGGAGAAAUUUUUGGCCUUCCUAGCCUACAUACCCCUGUGUGUAAAAUGCAGGAAAUAUAAGUGGACCCCAAAUUUGCCUCUUGCGUUUCUUGUGUGUGGUCCUAGGAUGGAACCCAGGGGUGUUCUAUCACUGAGUCACAAAUCCCCAUCCCUUUUUGAGGUAGAGUCUCACUAAGUUGCCCAGGAUGGCCUCAGACUUGCGAUCUUCCUGCCUCAGCCUCCUGAGGUUCUGGGAUUUCAGAUGUGCUACCCCUAGCUUCUUUUUUUCUUCCUUAUUGUAAAAUAUGGGUCACACACAGAGGGCUACACAGUGUGGUGAAUAACUGGUAAAUGUCCACAUAACUACCUACCAUUCACACUCUGAAAAGGAAGGAGGCGGGGAGGGCAGCGGGGGACUCCAGUGGGUAUUGUUCUCAAGGAUGCAUCCCCUGUACCUUCUGGCAACCUGUCCCAUUAACCUCUUCCCUCCUUUGUUUUGUUUUAUGCUUUUAUCUCCUACAUAAUCAUCACCUACAUUUUCUUCUUACUUCUAAGUUUUUUUAAUAGUUUUUUCAUACAUAUCUAUAAUACAUUUAGAAUUCAUCUUAUUAUGUCAUGAGAGAAACGGAAAGUUGUUGUAUUCCAAAUGGUUUACCAAUAAUUUCAGCAUUAUUCAGAAUGACACUUUCUUUCUGAACCAUUUUUAAAAGUUAAGGUUCUUAAUAUAUGAUUCACAUAGAGAAAAUUUUGUCCCUUAAGAGUAUUGAAUUUUGGUCAAUAUGCACAAUUUACAG
rnacentral:lncRNA from 1 species